rnacentral:rRNA from 1 species
UUAAGUUUUGAUCCUGGCUCAGAACGAACGCUGGCGGCAGGCUUAACACAUGCAAGUCGAGCGCCCCGCAAGGGGAGCGGCAGACGGGUGAGUAACGCGUGGGAAUCUACCCAUCUCUACGGAAUAACUCAGGGAAACUUGUGCUAAUACCGUAUACGUCCUUCGGGAGAAAGAUUUAUCGGAGAUGGAUGAGCCCGCGUUGGAUUAGCUAGUUGGUGGGGUAAAGGCCUACCAAGGCGACGAUCCAUAGCUGGUCUGAGAGGAUGAUCAGCCCACACUGGGACUGAGACACGGCCCAGACUCCUACGGGAGGCAGCAGUGGGGAAUAUUGGACAAUGGGCGCAAGCCUGAUCCAGCCAUGCCGCGUGAGUGAUGAAGGCCCUAGGGUUGUAAAGCUCUUUCAACGGUGAAGAUAAUGGUGGU